UACCUCAGUGAAAGCAUGUGGAAUCCAUCAGUUCUCAAUUGAUCACUGAAGUUAAGCAACAUAGCAUGUAUGUAAUUGGUAUGUGAAUGGGUGACCAUCUGGACAAUCACGAGCUGCUGGCU
rnacentral:rRNA from 1 species